rnacentral:rRNA from 1 species
GAUGAACGCUAGCUACAGGCUUAACACAUGCAAGUCGAGGGGAAACGGCAUUGAGUGCUUGCACUCUUUGGACGCCGACCGGCGCACGGGUGAGUAACGCGUAUCCAACCUUCCCAUUACUGUGGGAUAACCUGCCGAAAGGCAGACUAAUAUCGCAUAGUCUUCGAUGACGGCAUCAGAUUUGAAGUAAAGAUUUAUCGGUAAUGGAUGGGGAUGCGUCUGAUUAGCUUGUUGGCGGGGUAACGGCCCACCAAGGCGACGAUCAGUAGGGGUUCUGAGAGGAAGGUCCCCCACAUUGGAACUGAGACACGGUCCAAACUCCUACGGGAGGCAGCAGUGAGGAAUAUUGGUCAAUGGACGGAAGUCUGAACCAGCCAAGUAGCGUGCAGGAUGACGGCCCUAUGGGUUGUAAACUGCUUUUGUAUGGGGAUAAAGUUAGGGACGUGUCCCUAUUUGCAGGUACCAUACGAAUAAGGACCGGCUAAUUCCGUGCCAGCAGCCGCGGUAAUACGGAAGGUCCAGGCGUUAUCCGGAUUUAUUGGGUUUAAAGGGAGCGUAGGCUGGAGAUUAAGUGUGUUGUGAAAUGUAGACGCUCAACGUCUGAAUUGCAGCGCAUACUGGUUUCCUUGAGUACGCACAACGUUGGCGGAAUUCGUCGUGUAGCGGUGAAAUGCUUAGAUAUGNCGAAGAACUCCGAUUGCGAAGGCAGCUGACGGGGGCGCAACUGACGCUUAAGCUCGAAGGUGCGGGUAUCGAACAGG